GUUGUCCCGCAUGCUCCUCGACUGGAUGUCCAGGACGGUCUCCCUCAGGGUUUUGUUUUCUUUUUUAAGUGUAUCCACCUCUGAAGUGACCGCUGUCAGCGUGGACCGGAGUUCGGUGUUGUCCCUCUGCAGAUCCUCUAUCUGCUGGCAUUGCGGUGCAGAUAAAGAGGUCAGGCUGAAGACCAUUGGACCUAUGAUGGAUUUUUCAUGUGAUGAAACAGACAAAGGCCCGCCGGUACAGAUGCACAGCCUCAGAGAGUUUGAACAGAGUGGAGUUGGCCCAGGCGCUUGCUUGUCCCCAUUGUGGAGGUGAGGUUAAAAAUCCUCUUCCAGCUCAGGCCUCGUUCUGCAUUCAUACUUUGUAUCUAAGUGCCUGGACUCAGUGUGUGCUUUUAAAGAGAUUCAGAUCCUGUUUUGCUUCAUGCCUCUUGUUCUCUGGCAUCAUUAAUGCAAAACAAUGG
ensembl:lncRNA